rnacentral:lncRNA from 1 species
CUUUUUUGCGGGCUGCGUCUUCCGAAGGAUGCUUCUAGUCGUCGCCCUGUUUCACUCGAAGGGGGCUGCUUAUGGGCAACUGUUUUUUGUUGCGGCAUAUUCUGGAAUUUGCAGUAGUUGCUUCUCUUCUUCAGAAAUGUGUAGUGCUCAGUCAUCUGCUGGGGACUGAGCAGGUAGGAGGAAGUUUAUGGAUAAUAUCUUUGGAGGUGGUAGGCAUUCCAUUGUCG